rnacentral:tRNA from 1 species
GGGUCUGUAGCUCAGGUGGCUAGAGCACACCCCUGAUAAGGGUGAGGUCGGUGGUUCAAGUCCACCCAGACCCA